rnacentral:lncRNA from 1 species
CAAGCAUCACCACCUGAGCUCUGCCUCUUGUCAGAUCAGUGGUGACAUUAGAUUCUCAUAGGAGCAGAGCCUCUUGUGAACUGUGCAUGCCAGGGAUCUAGGUCACAUGCUUCUUAUGAGAAUCUAAUGCCUGAUGAUCUAAGGUAGAGCAGUUUCAUCCCCAAACCACACCUCCCUGCCCUGGUCCGUAGGAAGAUUGUCUUCUGCAAAACCCGUCCUGGGUGCUAAACAUGUUGGGGACGAUGGGUAUAGACAAUGAGAAGUAACAGUCAGUGUUAUUGUUCUGUAUCAGUGGCAAGUACCAUUCUGUCCUAUUUUUAGGAGAAGAGACAAUAGCAUCAAUUCGUAACUAUCUGUGUGACUGAAGAAAUGAAAGCUGGAAAGCCAUUACCAGUGGAGAGAACGUCUCCACCUUCUGAUCACUGGUUCUCCUUUGCGUUCCUCAGGAUGGAGGCUGUCAGCAGUAGGAGCAUGGAGACCAGUAAUGGAUGUCCUUGUUCAUAUUUGAGGAUCAGAACAUCCUCCAAGGUCAUGUACUCUGUUUGCACCCUGCUUAGGAAGGAGCAUGCAGACCAAUGGAAGAUGACAAACACAGAUCAAGGAGGACUGUCUCAUCUGUUUGUGCUCUGCUCUGCGAGCUUCGGGAUGGAUGUUUGCCCGCUGAUCCCAUGGUUACAAGCUCUGUGGCUGCAUCUAUGCGUUCGGAGCAUGAAGACCAAUGUGAGUCAUUGUCAAUGCUCCUUCUUGUUUUGAAGGAGCAUCGACUAUUUGCUAUAUUAUUUGCAUUGUUAUUUGCUAUAUUAUAAGAAGUAUUAAACACAACUAAAGAAGGUAAAGAAUGCAA